rnacentral:lncRNA from 1 species
AUGGGUGACACAGCAAGACCCUGUCUCAAAAACAAACAAACAAAAUGUGGAUGUUGUAGUAAUGCCGCAAGAAAGAGACCAAGAGAAGUAGGAGGUAGUGAUCAGACACCUGGAUGCGUAAAAAUCCAGAUUCAGGAAAUGGUGGCAUUAGGACUUCACCAUGGUGAAGGAGAAGGAGAAGGAGUCUGGAAGGACGCUGACAACGGAUGGUGGUCAGGAAGGAAAACCCGUGGCCCACAGGCCAGAGGAGGAGAGAACUUCAAGGAGGGAUAUUCAGCUUCCUGUGGACCCCCAUUUGUUCAUCCAUACGAUGAUGCUCUGAGGAGCACAGGAGGAAGGUGUAAAUUGGAUAAAAUGUGCAUGACGUAAGGAGCAUAAAUCCCUCAGGAAAGAGAUGCUGCCUUUUCACUAACGUGUCCCUGAGCUGCACAGAGCAGCCCUGGGGGGACUGGGAGGCCAUGGCCCCUGUGUGAGGAGCAGGGGAAAGGUGAGCCUCAAAUGAUCACCAACAAACACCAGGGCCUGUGUCUGGGGCUUACACACGGCAUGUGGUCCCCACAGCACCAUUGCUCAGAGGAAGAAUCCAAGAUCUGGAGGGAUUGUGUAAUUUGCCCAUGUUCAACAAGUUGGUGGCAAAAUGAAGAGUGGCUCCCCUCUUUCGGACUUUAAGGCUGACGAUCUUCCAUCUGUGCUCUGGGGACAAGACUGAGGUCCACAGAUAAAACUGGGGGUGGCAUCCCCUGUCUCAUGGUCUUUACGCUCAUGGGAGCUGGGAGUGACCAUCUGAUAAGAGGGAGGGAAGGAAGGGGAGAGGCUUGAGGAAGGUUAUGGGGGUUAGGAUCUAAGAUGAAAUUUGAGACUGUAAGACUUCGGGUCGGAUGCUGUGGCUCGCACCUGUAAUCUCAGCAUCCUGGGAGGCCAUUGCUUGGGCUUGGGCCCAGGAAUUUAAGACCAGCCUAGGUAACAUAGACCCUGUUUUUACAAAACAACAACAACAACAAAAAACCAAACCAGCCAGGUAUGGUAGUGUGUGCCUGUGGUCCUAGCUACUCAGAAGGCUGAGGCAGGGGAAUUCCUUGAGGCCAGGAAUUUGAGGCUACAGUGAGCUAAGGACACACCACUGCACUCCAGCCUGGGUGACAGAGUGAGACCCUGUCUCAAAAGAAAAAACAAAGAUUUUAAGAUUGCUGCAACUCCAGAUGAAGGUAGAUCCUGGAGGCACUUUGUGGGAGAGGUCACUACAGUUGAGUAUCAAAGACUGUUGACAGAUCAGAAGUCAAGGAACUGACUGACCAGGGCAUUGGAUGGGUCAUUUAUGUGGGUGUCCAGAUUCACCAGUUUGGUGAAAAGACUCAGCAUCAAAAGGAAAUCUGGAAAGUUAGGGUCAAACUCUCUAUGAAAUCUGGGAAGAGAUUUGAAUUUUUAUGGGAAAGGCAGGGAGUGGCUAAUAGGCCCAGACUCCUUGAACCUCAGAAAUGGGGAAUGUUUUUAGUGCUUCUAAAAUGGAAAAGACUGUUAUGGCAAAGACCUGAUGCCCCAGACUGGGUUAGAGACCAUAAGCUCUCAUUCAUUCAUUCAUUCACAUGUCUGCUAAGCACCUACUGUGUACCGGGCACCAUGCUUGGAGCCUAGGGCUUCACAGAGAGAUUACAGCCUCUCUUCUCUCCAGCCAACCCAAGUCAAGAAGGCAAAAGCAUAAACUGGUAGAUGGCUUUUUUAUUUUUAUUUUUUUUGAGAUGGGGUCUGUGCCCCCCAGGCUGGAGUACAGUGGUGUGAUCUCAGCUCACUGCAACCUUCGCCUCCUGGGCUUGGCCAGUUUUUUGUAUUUUUGGUAGAGACAUGUUUCCAGCCUGGUUUCAAACUCUUGAGCUCUAGUGACCCACCCACCUUGGCCUCCCAAAGUGCUGGGAUUACAGGUGUGAGCCACUGUGCCCAGCCAAGUAAAUGCCAUUCUUAGAAAAAUACUGUCAUUGGCAUAAAAUAUAAAUCAUGACGGGGCACCAAGGAGUGCAGGCUCAAUCAGGCCCUGGCCACAGGCCUCUCUCUGAGCUGGAAUGGCAAUACUUCCCUUCCCGACUGGCAUGAGCUGCUUCUGCCAUGUACUUUCUAGUGUUUGUCACUCAAGUGCCUCGUCCUUUCCUAAGGAAUAAUUUCCAGGCCAGGCGCAGUAGCUCACACCUGUAAUCCCAGCACUUUGGGAGGCCAAGGAGGGUGGAUCACCUGAGGUCAGGAGUUUGGGACCAGCCUGCCCAACAUGGUGAAAACCCAUCUCUACUAAAAACACAAAAAUUAGGCGGAUGUGGUGGUGAUUGCCUGUAAUCCCAGCUACUCGGGAGACUGAGGCACGAGAAUCACUUGAACCUGGGAGGCAGAGUUUACAUUGAGCUGAGAUCAUGCCACUGCACUCCAGCCUGGGCGACAGAGCAAGUUCUGCCUCAAAAAAAAAAAAAAAAAAAAGGAAUUUUCCACAGAACUAAGACGUAAAUCUUAGGGCACAUAACUUUCAUCAAGGGGGAAAAGGGAUUGCACUCUUGUUGAAACUCCAGCCUCCUUCUUUAGCCAAUAUUUAGCCAGGUGCUGUGGUUCACACCUGUAAUCCCAGCACUUUGGGAGGCUGAGGCCAGAGGAUAGCUGAGUCCAGGAGCUCAAGACCAACCUGGGCAAUACAGAGAGCCGGUCUCUCUCUCUCUCUCUCUCUCUCUCUCUCUCUCUCUCUCUCUCUCUCUCUCUCUAUUUAUUUAUUUGAGUCGGAGUCUUGCUCUUGUCACCAGGCUGGAGUUCAGUGGCGCAAUCUCGGCUCACUGCAACCUCCUCCUCCCAGGUUCAAAUGAUUCUCCUGCCUCAGCCUCCCGAGUCGCUGGGACUACAGGCGCACACCACCAUGCCCGGCUAAUUCUUUUGUAUUUUCAGUAGAGAUGGGGUUUCCCCAUGUUGGCCAGGAUGGUCUCGAUCUCUUGACGUCGUGAUCCACCCGCCUCGGCCUCCCAAAGUGGUGGGAUUACAGGCAUGAGCCACCGCGCCCGGCCACCGGUCUCUAUUUUAGAAAGAAAAAAAGUGUUCUGCAGUCUCCCUAGUUCUGCGCCCUCAACCCUGAUCUCCUGCCUCCUCCCACAGCCACCCUCUUGAGCUCAGCUUCAACCAUGGCCCUCCCCACAGGGCUCCAUCCCAAGCCAGAGCGGGUCAGCUCCCUACACAGGGCCCAGCAACACGGUGCCCAAGAAAAAGUGUUUCCAAUGGGACGCAC